GUGGGGAAUAUUGCACAAUGGGCGAAAGCCUGAUGCAGCAACGCCGCGUGAGCGAUGAAGGCCUUCGGGUCGUAAAGCUCUGUCCUCAAGGAAGAUAAUGACGGUACUUGAGGAGGAAGCCCCGGCUAACUACGUGCCAGCAGCCGCGGUAAUACGUAGGGGGCUAGCGUUAUCCGGAAUUACUGGGCGUAAAGGGUGCGUAGGUGGUUUCUUAAGUCAGAGGUGAAAGGCUACGGCUCAACCGUAGUAAGCCUUUGAAACUGGGAAACUUGAGUGCAGGAGAGGAGAGUGGAAUUCCUAGUGUAGCGGUGAAAUGCGUAGAUAUUAGGAGGAACACCAGUUGCGAAGGCGGCUCUCUGGACUGUAACUGACACUGAGGCACGAAAGCGUGGGGAGCAAACAGGA
rnacentral:rRNA from 1 species